rnacentral:rRNA from 1 species
CACGUAGGGUGCGAGCGUUGUCCGGAAUUAUUGGGCGUAAAGAGCUCGUAGGCGGUGUGUCGCGUCGGCCGUGAAAACCUGCAGCUUAACUGUGGGCUUGCGGUCGAUACGGGCAUCACUGGAGUUCGGCAGGGGAGACUGGAAUUCCUGGUGUAGCGGUGAAAUGCGCAGAUAUCAGGAGGAACACCGGUGGCGAAGGCAGGUCUCUGGGGCCACUACUGACGC